rnacentral:rRNA from 1 species
AGAGUUUGAUCAUGGCUCAGAACGAACGCUGGCGGCAGGCCUAACACAUGCAAGUCGAACGCCCCGCAAGGGGAGUGGCAGACGGGUGAGUAACGCGUGGGAAUCUCCCCUUUGGUACGGAAUAACUCGGGGAAACUCGAGCUAAUACCGUAUAAGCCGGUAACGGGAAAGAUUUAUCGCCAAAGGAUGAGCCCGCGUCAGAUUAGCUAGUUGGUGGGGUAAAAGCCUACCAAGGCUACGAUCUGUAGCUGGUCUGAGAGGACGACCAGCCACACUGGGACUGAGACACGGCCCAGACUCCUACGGGAGGCAGCAGUGGGGAAUCUUGGACAAUGGGCGCAAGCCUGAUCCAGCCAUGCCGCGUGAGUGAUGACGGCCUUAGGGUUGUAAAGCUCUUUCGCCUGUGACGAUGAUGACGGUAACAGGAGAAGAAGCCCCGGCUAACUUCGUGCCAGCAGCCGCGGUAAUACGAAGGGGGCUAGCGUUGUUCGGAAUUACUGGGCGUAAAGCGCACGUAGGCGGCGCAGCAAGUUGGGGGUGAAAUCCCGAGGCUCAACCUCGGAAUUGCCUUCAAAACUGCUGUGCUCGAGUUCGGAAGAGGUGAGUGGAAUUCCCAGUGUAGAGGUGAAAUUCGUAGAGAUUGGGAAGAACACCAGUGGCGAAGGCGGCUCACUGGUCCGCAACUGACGCUGAGGUGCGAAAGCGUGGGGAGCAAACAGGAUUAGAUACCCUAGUAGUCC